rnacentral:lncRNA from 1 species
AGAUUAAAAGAAACAUACCAAGAAGAAGAGGAGAAGAGGGGUGUUGUGAGAGAGAUGUUGGGGCAUCCAACUCUUGGAUGCCUCCUCCUUGUUUUGGGCGACAUGGAGAAGGGAGGGAUGCCUCUCUUUUCAUGCAUGGAAGAGAGGAAAGAAGGGGGGCAGCUCUUCACUAUGUGGCAUGGGGUUUCUUCAUGAUGAAAGGGUUGUGGCGU